rnacentral:rRNA from 1 species
AAAGUCGGACUAAUACCGCAUGAAGCAGGGGCCCCGNAUGGGGAUAUUUGCUAAAGAUUCAUCGCUGAUAGAUAGGGCAUGCGUUCCAUUAGGCAGUUGGCGGGGUAACGGCCCACCAAACCGACGAUGGAUAGGGGUUCUGAGAGGAAGGUCCCCCCACAUUGGUACUGAGACACGGUCCAAACUCCUACGGGAGGCAGCAGUGAGGAAUAUUGGUCAAUGGACGAGAGUCUGAACCAGCCAAGUAGCGUGCAGGAUGACGGCCCUAUGGGUUGUAAACUGCUUUUAUAAGGGAAUAAAGUGAGUCUCGUGAGACUUUUUGCAUGUACCUUAUGAAUAAGGACCGGCUAAUUCCGUG